UGUGCAACCACUUCUGGAGGCUCCGUGCGCAGCCCUGGGGAUAUAAGGGAGAGGUUACAGGAGUGUCUCAAAGCUGAUGAAGCUGAUAGACAAGGGGGUGCUGCCUCAGGAUGCCAAGCCCCCAAAAGACAUCCUGCUCCUGCCCGCCCUGGACUACCUAGAAUGGAUCAACAGUCUCCCGAGAUAUCUCCGGCACCAAGUCAUCCACCUCUCCCCAUCCUGCAGCCUCAAGGCGCAGAAGGAAAAGGAGUGUUUGUGGGAGCAGGAGGGUACUUCUUAACGGCCCCAGAAGACACUGCGUCAUGUAUUUCGUAGGGUCCUUGGGGGCCACCUAAGCAUCUUCUGAGUUCAUGGAGGGCCCUGGCCUGGCGUUUGCAGCCUUCUCCCAAGUCGUCUCGUUGUUCCCUGGUGCCUCUUUCUGGGCCAUCCUCUUCUUCGUGGCCCUGCUCAUCAUAGGGCCGAGCAACUUGAUGAAACUCUUGGAAGGCAUUGUCUUUCCCCUCCAGAACUCUAUCUCCAUCUGCAGGAAGUAUCCCAGGAUGCUCUCAGGUACUGUGGAUUCUCACCCCGGUGACAGGCUUGCCCUAGGCCCCUCCUCACCAGGCCACCCCCAAUCUCCAGGGCUCACUUUGACCCCGACCCAGCCCUACACAUAGACCUCAGUGUGGCCAAACCUGCCCCUGCCUUAGCGAUCAUCUUCUUGGGAGGUUUUCUGGGCAGCCUCAUCUUCACUAGUUGUGCCGGCAGCUACAUAAUGUCCUUGUUUGAUGCCCGCCUGGUCUCGCUGACCCUCGUCAUCACUGUGGUCUUCCAGAAUGUGGCCCUGGCCCGGAUAGAUGGAGCUAGGAGGUGAUGUCCAACUCCCGGGGUCUGCCCAGCCAGGGACCCCACUCCAGGUCUCUGAGGAGAGUUGUGGCGUGAUCUGCUUCCUCAGUCCUUCCCACAGCAGGGAGGUCCAGCUGAGGGCACAGCGGUACAGGAGGGAGUGAUCUGAGGGGAGCUGGGUGGUGAUGCAACAAGCAGUCAGGAUCGAGGGGACUCAUGUUCCCCUGCCAUUGGCCACGUGGGAUGGUCUGAAGGCAGAGAGGGCUGGGAGUGACGCACUCCCCCUGGAUGGGGGGGAUUCCCGUGGGGUGACGAUGCAGGGCCCAACGUCAGGGAGGGCCUGGCAGGGCUUCAAAGCUCCUAAAUGUUGAGAACUUGUGAGAGAAGCAGAGGCCUGGAGGGCCCACCCUCCCAAGGGCUCCAGGCCCUGGUGCCCAGAGGAGGGCUCCUUCCCAGAAGUCCCUGUCCAUCACCCCCACCCCAGGUUCAGGGAAGAAAUGUUCAGUGAGCUGGGCCACCCUCUGUGGCCCUCCUCCACAUUCCUGUGGUGCUACAUGACCUUGCCAGGGCUGCUGGCCCUCCUCACCAUCUGCCUCAUGCAGCUCUAUCAGGGGGCACACCUCUACGACAUUGCUUGGAACAGCAGUGUGGUGAGAUUCCCCCACCCCGGGCUACCACCCCCACCCUGGGGACCCCGCGUCAGAACACACCCCACAGGACCCUGAUUCUGGGCUCCUACCAUCCCAGGGGACCCUUUGACCAGCCCCUGGGGAAUCCGAUCCCCAGCAUCACGUGCACUGAAACCCCACCACCAGUGCCUCUUCCUCCCCGCCUGCCCCACUCUCUCUGCCCUCAGAGCCAGGAAGUAAAACAGCCCUACUGGCAAAACACCCUGGGCUGGGCCACCUUCCUGCCAAUCCCAGUCCACCCACUUCACCCUGGUAGUGCUCCCUCCAGGACUACAUUGAAAAUCUACUGUCCAAAGAAGAUGCCCUUGGUGUCCUCCAAGCCCUUACAGUGGCCUAAGCAAGCACCACUUGGUGAAGUCCAACUUCACGUCCCAGGAGAGAACCAGUGACACCUCAUCGAGAGGGUUAAGUCUGUCCUUACUCAGGGGGCAGAACCCAGAGCUCUGACAGUUCAGCCAGGGCUCGAGUAAGAGUGAGAGCUCUUCCUGCUUCAGUCUGCCACUCCUGGCCUCCCUGACACCUGCCUUGUCCAUGAAGAGUGUCAGCCUCCCCGCCUCGAGGCCCGUGAGCCCAUCCUCAACAGCCAUAGACAACAACAAGGUCAGGGAGACCAAGGAAGAAAAUCCGCAAAAGAAAUCUGUUAAGUAACUAGCCACACCCACCCAUUUUUUCCAAGGCAGCAAAUCUGUCCUAUAACUGGUGGCAUUAGUGACCAUUUUGCUACACAAAUAGUUGGUUGUGCCAGAAAGGAGGGGAGGGGGCACAUGGAAAACUUACCUAGCAACCGGUGACAUCACUCAUUUGAACUUGGAAGGAAAGGGACAACCCGGGAGCUCUUUCCUCCCCUGGAAUAGUACCGCUUCUGGUAAGUGGAACGCUCUGCUCUGGGAUUGGGGAACUCAGAAGAAGAAAUCAACUCUAUUGCUCACAGGGCUGGACCUAGUGUCCCCUUUCUCCCUGUGAAGUGGGGGCACCAUGUUGGCACGAUGGGAUGGGCAUCACAGCACUUUCCAGGACCCAACUUCCCAGUUAUCAUGGAGAUAGACAGUGUUCUCUCCAACCCCUCACCUCCACCACCAAACUGGAUCAGUGGGGUAGCUAACUUUUCCGGGGCUGCCCUCGCAGAAUGAAGCUGAGACGACAGUUCUGUGAGUUAAUAAAUGGGUCCGCUGGGACCCCCUGCACAGGCCAUGGGCAUAGUGUCCUUCCAGUGAGCGGCCCAGAUGUCAGCCUCCUCCUGCACAUACACCCUCAUCCCUGACAAACUGAGUAUCCAAUCUGGUGACCCCAGUUUCCCCCUGCCUUUGAGACCCCUCCAUGUCCUGGAGCUGAGCCAACCUGGGGGGGAACUUUGCAGCAAUCAGUAUCACGCAAUCUAGAAAGUGUGUUCAUCCCUAAAGCUAACUUGGUAAUUGGUGACCACACUAAAUCUAUCCCAUAACUCAUCUCACUACUCCUACCAAGAGGGUAGCUCGCCUAGAACAUUGAGGUCCUCACUAGCUGGCUGUUAUGCUUCGUUCUUACUCGGGAUAAGCUCCCUCACCCACUUGGGCCCUGGGAAGUAGAUCACCUGGUUUCCGUCGGCUCAGGACCAGGGAAUCGUGGAGGACUUGGGCCUUAUUAGGGUUAUCUGUGGGAAUAGGUAACACCGCCCUGCCUAUCUGAAUGUCAAAUGGAAUUAAGGGAACUCAGUGGGUAGAGGACCAAGGCCCCUUCUAGAAGCCACACCCCUUAGUGACUUCCUGGGCAAAAACCCUUCUCUCCCAUUGUGUACUCCCAAAGCUCAUGACCUUGAGAAUCAAUGCCAGCUUCCAUUACCACCCGCUCUGGUUCCCAGUCACUUCUCAAAGCUUCGCCUGCUCUGUUUUAGUUACCGCAAAUGUCUCUAAACAUCUUUUAUCACACUCCCCUAUCAGUGACAGCUUUUUGAAAAAAUAUCCCCAACCUAUGUAGAAAAUUUACAUGUGAAUUCCUGUCAUUCUAUCAAUACAAACUUGAUAUCAGUAAAGUUUCAUUUGUUUUGCUCAUUGAUUUUUUUUUUUUUAAAUAGAUGUAAGUAGAAAUCCUAAAUUUUUCUUCUUGCAUUCCCAAUGUAAUGGCUUCUCCUUCCCAAUUUGGAGAGCCCUGAAAAGGUCAGAGGCAGAGGCCCCCAGGCCCUUCCAGCCCCUGAGAUUCACCUCGGGGCCUCCUGCCUCCUCCCUUGCUCUCCAUGCACCCUGGGUCUGGGAUGACCCAGCUCCCGGAGCUGGAGGUGAGUGGAGUGGGCCUGAUCCACCUUCCACCCUCACCGUCACCUCUGUGUCUCUCCUCCCCUCUCAGAGUCACGUGGGCCACCAUGAACCAGUAUUGCCAAGUGUCUGGUGGGGUAAGAGAAAGGCCAGUGUGGACGAUGAGUCCUGCACUUGGAGUGGUAGUUGGAAGGUUGCUUUUUGUGAGGCUGUGGGGUGAGAAGUCCUGGCAUGGAGGACAACUUCCCAGGUGCUAUGAGAAGCCCUGCGCCCUUGUUAAUACCUGGACAAUGUAUUAACGGACGGGCCCUUGGCUGGUCUCCCUCUCCACCUCUCCUUUCAUUAAGUGGAUAUUGCAGGAGGCUCAGAGAAGAGAAAGGACAGCCCUGCAGUCAAACACCCAGUCAGUGACAGGUGGAGAGAGAAUCAAGGUUUUCUGGCUCCUAGUCUGGGAUCCUUUCGUUUUUCAUUUCCCCACCAGGUUAAACGCUUCUUGACCCUUGCGGCUGGGGUACCAGCAUGCAACCUACAUUACCCAGUCUGAGGUGCUCCCACAAGCUUGGAGGGAGAAUCGAGGACAUGUGAGGUGGCCUCUGCGUAUGGGGAGAUUGGUGGUCUUGGUGAAUGUUGGCUGGAAGCCUCCAGCCCCUCUGCAAUGGGCUGCGGAGGAAGAGGUACCUCGGCUAGGACGGUCUUGCAGCGUGGGUGGGUGAGUUUUGUUCUUAAUCGUGAUUUAGAUGACCAUGACAUUGGCUUGGGGAAGCCACAUGAGGCGCUUUAGCAAGUAGCUGCAGCUAAGACAGGAGUCUGCAAACUUUUCCUACAAAGGGCCAGAUGAUGUUUUUGGCUUUUCAGGACGUGGUCUCUCUGGCAUACAGUUGUCCCUCAGGAUUGCUUCCAGGACCCCCCCAACAGAUACCAAAAUCUUCAGAUCCUCAAGCUCCUUAUAUAAAAUUAUGUAGUAUUUGCAUAUAACCUACACACAUCCUCCUGUAUACUUUAAAUCAUCUCUAGAUUACUUAAUACAAUGUAAAUGCUAUGUAAAAAACAGCCAGUGUGGCAAAUUCAAGUUUUGCCUCCUGAAAUUAUUUUUCUAAUAUUUUCGAUCCACAUUUGGUUGAAUCCAUGGAUGUGGAACAUGUGCCUACAAAGGGGGCCGACUGUGUAACUAGAACUGUAAACAGAAAGAAAUUUUGUACUUUUGUAUAACUUGAUUGCCAUUUUAUAUAACAGGUCCUGUUUUACAAAUAAAUUUUGAUUUACUAGAAACAAAAACAAAGGGGGCUGACUGUAUUCUCUUUGUUGUUUGAUCUUUACAACUCUUUAAAAAUGUAAAAACCAUUCUUAGCUCACAGGCCAGAUUUAUCCCACACACAACACCCAUCGUUUGCCAACCCCUGAUCUAGGGCCAUGUGAUACCUACAAGAGAAUGCUGGUGACUAAACCAGGAUUUACUUUGAACUCCCUAGUUGGCCCACUUUGUGUCAGGCAGCCACCCAGAGGGUAUAACCAUCAGGCUGUCCAGCAGAAACAAAGGUGACCCGAGAGUGGUCGGGGGGCAGAAUCCUAAAUUUUCAAAAUGGUCUAUAUAACUCCCCCACCCCUUAGGUCUCAAGAGGUCGAUCAUCCAGGAGGCGGCCAAGAAGAGACGAAGCCUCUCUGGGAACACCCACAUUCAGUGACCCAACUGCCCGACUAAGCUGUGUGGACCAGGAGGAGAGGAAGAAGGACUUUUGGUUUCCAAACUGAUUAAUGUGUGGAAAUGAAGUGGAGGUUGCAUCUCUCCAUUACGAUGACUCACGUCAGAUUUCUACCUGCCAGACCUGGAGUCUUCCUGUUAUACAGGUUCCGCCCCCUAGGUUUCUCUCUUUUGGGCCAAGCCGGCCUCUCACGAAAAUGCUCGACGACUGCGAAAGGUGGCAAUUUG